rnacentral:rRNA from 1 species
UACUCUUGACNUCCNCNGAAUUCGGCAGAGAUGCCUUAGUGCCUUCGGGAACUGUGAGACAGGUGCUGCAUGGCUGUCGUCAGCUCGUGUUGUGAAAUGUUGGGUUAAGUCCCGCAACGAGCGCAACCCUUAUCCUUUGUUGCCAGCGCGUAAUGGUGGGAACUCAAAGGAGACUGCCGGUGAUAAACCGGAGGAAGGUGGGGAUG